rnacentral:rRNA from 1 species
UACCGCGUGUGUGAAGAAGGCCUGAGGGUUGUAAAGCACUUUCAAUAGGGAGGAAAAAGCGUUGGUUAAUAGCUGAUGCCUUGACAUUACCUAUAGAAGAAGCACCGGCUAACUCCGUGCCAGCAGCCGCGGUAAUACGGAGGGUGCGAGCGUUAAUCGGAAUUACUGGGCGUAAAGCGUGCGUAGGCGGCUGUUUAAGUCAGAUGUGAAAGCCCCGGGCUUAACCUGGGAACGGCAUUUGAUACUGGGCAGCUAGAGUUUAGGAGAGGAGAGUGGAAUUUCCGGUGUAGCGGUGAAAUGCGUAGAGAUCGGAAGGAACACCAGUGGCGAAGGCGGCUCUCUGGCCUAAAACUGACGCUGAGGUACGAAAGCGUGGGUAGCAAACAGGAUUAGAUACCCUGGUAGUCCACGCCGUAAACGAUGUCAACUAGCCGUUGGGUCUUUAUUAAGACUUAGUGGUGCAGCUAACGCAUUAAGUUGACCGCCUGGGGAGUACGGCCGCAAGGUUAAAACUCAAAUGAAUUGACGGGGGCCCGCACAAGCGGUGGAGCAUGUGGUUUAAUUCGAUGCAACGCGAAGAACCUUACCUACCCUUGACAUCCAGAGAAUCUGUGAGAGAUC